GCCUGCUUAGCUUAGAGGUUAGAGCAUCGCACUUAUAAUGCGAUGGUCAUCGGUUCGAUCCCGAUAGCUGGCU
rnacentral:tRNA from 1 species